UACGUAGGUGGCAAGCGUUGUCCGGAUUUACUGGGCGUAAAGAGCGCGCAGGCGGUUGUGCAAGUCGCGUGUGAAAGCCCCCGGCUCAACUGGGGAGGGUCACGCGAUACUGCUCGACUUGAAGGCAGGAGAGGGAAGUGGAAUUCCCGGUGUAGUGGUGAAAUGCGUAGAUAUCGGGAGGAACACCAAUGGCGAAGGCAGCUCGCUGGGACGUUACUGACGCUGAGGCGCGACAGCGUGGGGAGCAAACAGG
rnacentral:rRNA from 1 species